UCCCUGGUGGCUCGGAGGUUAAAGUGUCCGCUUGCAAUGCGGGAGACCCAGGUUCGAUCCCUAGGUUGGGAA
rnacentral:tRNA from 1 species